CGUUUUUACACGCAUGGCCCACCGUACGGCACGAUUUGCGGUCAAGAUACGUGACACACGACACACUGCACACGACGUGACGUUUGUACGAUUUUCCACGAGUGAUGAUUCCGCAACCACACGGCAGUUGCAGCUUG